GUGAAAUUGUUGAAAGGGAAACGAUUGAAGUCAGUCGUACCGGCGGAUAAUCAACCUUUCGGCGUGAUUAUGUGGAGCGUGAGGAGUUAAUCACUUUCAUGCCUGCAUAUUCGUGUAUUUUGGGUGUACUUAUCUGUAUGGUAGGUUAACAUCAAUUUUGGUCGUUAUAAAAUGGUUGGAGGAAUGUAGCUUCGAUCUCGUAUUGAAGUGUUAUAGACUCCGGCAGAUGUGAUGAUCGGGAUUGAGGAUUGCAACGGAUACCCUUCGGGGCUACCCGUCUGAUCUCUGAAAGUUGCUCUGGUGCCGAAAGCUCGCUUACGGUCAUCAAAGUUGACGUUCAACAGGUUAGAACGGGAUAAAUUCGUUAAGGAUGUUGACGUAAUGGCUUUAAACGAC
rnacentral:rRNA from 1 species